UACGUAGGGGGCUAGCGUUGUCCGGAAUCAUUGGGCGUAAAGCGCGUGUAGGCGGUCCGGUAAGUCCGCUGUGAAAGUCGGGGGCUCAACCCUCGGAUGCCGGUGGAUACUGUCGGGCUUGAGUACGGAAGAGGCGAGUGGAAUUCCUGGUGUAGCGGUGAAAUGCGCAGAGUAUCAGGAGGAACACCAAUUGCGAAGGCAGCUCGCUGGGACGUUACUGACGCUGAGGAGCGAAAGCUAGGGGAGCAAACGGG
rnacentral:rRNA from 1 species